GACAGAGGAUGCAAGCGUUAUCCGGAAUGAUUGGGCGUAAAGCGUCUGUAGGUGGCUUUUUAAGUCCGCCGUCAAAUCCCAGGGCUCAACCCUGGACAGGCGGUGGAAACUACCAAGCUGGAGUACGGUAGGGGCAGAGGGAAUUUCCGGUGGAGCGGUGAAAUGCGUAGAGAUCCGGAAGAACACCAGUGGCGAAGGCGGCCCGCUGGGCAGUGGCCGUGAGCGCUGAGGCGCGACAGCGUGGGGAGCAAACAGG
rnacentral:rRNA from 1 species